rnacentral:rRNA from 1 species
GACAGAGGAUGCAAGCGUUAUCCGGAAUGAUUGGGCAUAAAGCGUCUGUAGGUGGCUUUUUAAGUCUGCCGUCAAAUCCCAGGGCUUAACCCUGGACAGGCGGUGGAAACUACCAAGCUGGAGUACGGUAGGGGCAGGGGGAAUUUCCGGUGGAGCGGUGAAAUGCGUAGAGAUCGGAAAGAACACCAACGGCGAAAGCACUCUGCUGGGCCGACACUGACACUGAGAGACGAAAGCUAGGGGAGCGAAUGGG